rnacentral:rRNA from 1 species
UACAGAGGGUGCAAGCGUUGUUCGGAAUUAUUGGGCGUAAAGCGCGUGUAGGCGGCUUUGCAAGUCGGGUGUGAAAUCCCUCGGCCCAACCGAGGAACUGCGCCCGAGACUGCUUCUCUUGAGUCCCGGAGAGGAAGAUGGAAUUCCCGGUGUAGCGGUGAAAUGUGUAGAGAUCGGGAGGAACACCGGUGGCGAAGGCGGUCUUCUGGACGGUGACUGACGCUGAGGCGCGAAGGCCAGGGGAGCAAACGGG